CUCAUUUUACCUAUUCACGACUUCACUUAUAUCUCUUAGCAAUUCUCUGUUGAGAUCAUCAUCCUGGUUUUCAAUCAAUCCAACAAAAAGAGAAGUACGAGAACAAGAAAACACGGCUAUGGCCUUCUUCUACCACCAGGAUUAAAUGAAGUUGAAGCAAUUGUGUUCCAGAAAGUUGGAUGCACCAAAUCUUAAGAAAGUUGAAAUAGUAGAGAGUGAAGCCAUCCUUGUGGA